rnacentral:pre_miRNA from 1 species
AUUGAUUAGUUGAUUACUGCCUCUAAAACCUUGUUCCAAGAUUGAUUAGUAAUCAACUCAAGAUUGAUUGAACAAGGUUUUAGAGGCAGUAAUCAACUUGCCUC